rnacentral:rRNA from 1 species
UGGGGAAUUUUGUGCAAUGGGGGAAACCCUGACACAGCGACACCGCGUGAGCGAAGAAGCCCUUCGGGGUGUAAAGCUCUGUCGGCUGGGACGAAAAAAAUGACGGUACCAGCAGAGGAAGCAUCGGCUAACUACGUGCCAGCAGCCGCGGUAAGACGUAGGAUGCAAGCGUUGUCCGGAUUUAUUGGGCGUAAAGAGUUCGUAGGUGGUUUGUUAAGUCUGAUGUUAAAGACUGAGGCUCAACCUCGGGAGUGCAUUGGAUACUGGCAGACUAGAGUAUGGUAGAGGCAAGCGGAAUUCCCAGUGUAGCGGUGAAAUGCGUAGAUAUUGGGAAGAACACCGGUGGCGUAGGCGGCUUGCUGGGCCAUAACUGACACUGAGGAACGAAAGCCAGGGGAGCGAAUGGGAUUAGAUACCCGCGUAGUCC